CUGAACAGUCGCAAGGACAAAUCAAUGCCAUUUUAAAUCUAAGCGUCUUGAGUCACUCAUUUCCGCGUCUACGUCAGAUGUCUGACGUCACUUCACUCUGAGAGGCGACUUGACGUGAAAACCUGUUCGAUCGUUGGUUCGAUGAAGCUCGUGUUCCCGGUUCCACCUUAACGCGCCGACCGGGUCCUGUGAGCUCCAGAGCGGAGCUGCAGCCGCCUCGUGCAGCCGCUUCUCCCGGUCCCUUCUCCCGGUCCCUCCUCACCAUGGACUUCACCGAGGCGAGGUCGGAGCUGAAGCAGCUGCUGAGCAGAGUGGUUCCCGCCGAGCUGCCGAAGCUGCUGCACUGGAUCUCACACUCAGACGAGCUGGACGAGCUGCUGCUGGACAACAGGACGGUGACGCUACGCAGCAUCGCAGACGACCUGAGAGCCGGUCUGCCCCUGGACGCCAUGUUGCCCUCGGAGACCGCCGCCCACCACAAGAUGCAGCAGCAGCCGCGGCCGACGGUUCACGUGGACGGUUUCCUGUACAACGACGAGCAGGUGGACUCUCUGUGUGAGGACGGGACCAUGAGCCGGACCUACUGCCUCAGCUGUGGCUCCCACAAGACGGCAGCUCUGGACUUCAUCUCUCACUCCUUCUCGGUGUCGGAGCUUCAGUUUCUGUUCCAAAACGUUCUCCCAGACCUGAGCGGUCGGACGCUGGUGGACGUUGGAUCCAGACUGGGAGCUGUGCUGUACGGGGGUUACGUGUACAGCUCGGCGUCGCAGCUGCUCGGGCUUGAGCUCAGCGACGACUUCGUCAGGCUGCAGAACAACAUGCUGCACAAGUACAGGCUGAACGACCGGGUCCAGGUUCUCCAGGCUGACGUCCGCACGCAGGACAUUCUGCUGCAGAACGCCGACGUUCUGGUCAUGAACAACGUCUUUGAGUACUUCAUGGAGCCCAACGAGCAAGUCAAAGCCUGGAGGUUCGUCAUGCAGAACUUUAAAAAGAGAGGGUCUCUGUUGGUGACUGUUCCCAGUCUUCAGGAGAGUCUGAACGCUCUGCAGCAGGAGGCGCUGCAGCCCGGUUGGGUGGAGGAGCUUCCUGUGGACUAUGACGUCUCUCUGGGCAGAGAUACGGACCCCGACGCCCUCAGACAGAUCCAUCUGUACAGGGUCAUGUGACCUGAGACUUGAUGUGGAUCGCACGAGUCGAGGCUGGUUUCAACUGGUCCCAUCGUGGAACUGGACUGGUCUGGUCUGCACAAUCCUCCAGCGUAACAUCGACGUCUAUGGUUGGAAGAGGUCAUUGGCAGUGGUUUAUGGGAGGAGGAGUUCCUUCACUCUUUAUUAUCAGUCUUGUACCUUUGCCCUCUUUCCAAUUGUUAUUAUUUUGCGUGGUAACGAGUCAUCUCGAGGUUUAUUAAUUCGAUCCAAGGCGUCAUCACCCUGUAGAGUGAUGACGCCGGUUUCCCACUGAUCUGAUUGGUCCGUAGUUGGACCG